CAGAGAAGGAUGACCCAGAUCCCUACGGCCUUAAAUGGCCUUAGACAGAAUCUCCCUACGGACCGCAGGCUGGCCCCAAAUCCCUGGUCCCUCCAGCUCAACCUCAGUUGAUGAGAUCCGCAGGUACGCACUGCUAUGCUUUGUUUCUGGCUCCAGUCCUGGUUGGUUCCUACCCUUCUGGUUUCUGAGUUCCCAACGAGGCUAUCUAUGCUGAAUCAUCUCUGUAACUCGUCCUUCCUGUCCAACCUCAUAGCUUUUGAUUUACUCACCCACUUUAUUGUUCCAUCCCCCUCCUGCUGAUCAGCUUCUAUCACUUCUCAAUGCACCCGUUGGAUACUGCGGCCUUCACUGAUUUCACCCUGCUCGACGGUCUCCACCAUCUUCAUUUGUGUACCGUGGCUGCCAUGUGCGAACACAGAUGGCCACAUACUGUUUCAGUCUAACUGAACGGUGAAAAGAUUGACUUCUCGCCUUAUCCCCCCAACUCGGGGCUAAGUUUGCAUCCAUUGCAAUAAUACGGUCCGUUCUUAUUUGUUUAAUUUUGUGGGGUUAAGAUUUUUUUCUAAAUUAAGGUCACUACAGUGACCUAAUUUUAGUACAAGAACUCAUUUGUUAAGAGGCACAUUCAUACUUGAAUGACAAAACACAGACUUCAGGAAAUGCAGUUACAUGAUUUUUUUUUAUUACAUAAACAUAAUAUUUUCCACCGCAGUUGGUCUUUAGUUCGCUUCUCACUUUGACGGAGUGUCAAGUGUGGCAGAGACUAAGAAUGGUUUAAGAAAACAAAAGCUUUUUCGCACCUCUGAAAACAUUUUAUUGCCUACGUCUCCCGAUUACCUUCUUAAGAAAAAAAAAA
rnacentral:sRNA from 1 species